GUGAGAACCAUUGAAAAGUCGUAAAGAUCAUCCUUAAAUAUUUGAAAAAUUUUAAAGAUCAGUGGCUCAUUUAUGGAGAAUCUGACUUAAAACUCAUGGGACUUAUAGACUCCAAUUUUUAGUCAGAUCAAGAUGACAGCAAGAGCAUGUCAGGAUACGUGUUUGCCCUGAAUUGUGGAGUGAUCUAUUGAAAAAAUUUCAAGCAGC
rnacentral:lncRNA from 1 species